rnacentral:lncRNA from 1 species
ACCAAAGCUCCAGGAUCCAAGCUCAAGGAAUUCAGCCCCUCUGGUAGGGGAUUAGUCUUCCUUGUGUGAGCUCCCUGGUGUGAGGACUCAGUUUCUCUGCCCUCUCUGCAGGCAUUCGCCCUCCACCUUUCUGACUUUCUUAACCUCUCAGAUGCAGCUUCUCACUAUUUAUUGUGGAGUUUGUUCUGCCAGUGUUUGGAUCGCUCUCUGGUUUAUGGACUUGGAUGUGGAUGUUAUGUAGUUGAAAACAUGGGACAGGGUGAGCUCAGGGUCCUCCUACUCUGCUACUAUUAAUUUUUUAAAUGUCUUUUUUUUUUUUUUGGAUUUUUGAGACAUGGUCAGAGAGACUCAUAUCACCCAUGGACUUCAGGAUUAGAAAGGAAUUUUCCCACAGUUUUUUCUAGUAUUUUAUGUUUUGAAACUAUCUUUAAUGAGGCUUAGUUUACAUAUAACAAAUAGCUUCAAAUUAAAGGGUGUAAUUUGAUGAGACUUGAUCUCAUGGGUAUAGCACCAUGAUAUCUCUCUAAUGCUUAAAUCACUACUGAUUUAGUAGUACAAACUCCUUUGGAUUCCUUUGUGUCCAACGUUAAUGUUUAUUUUGAGGAAACGACUACAUUUUUUUCGGUUUUCAGGUAUUGCCCAGGUGUCUGAAUGCCUGCUUUGGGAUACCUCCUUUUCUGAUAGUCUAUAUUCCUGUAAGUACUGAAUUCGGUCUACUGUUGGGCUUUGUCUUGUAUUGUAUCUCUGUGUCUCUUCACGUAAUUUUGUUGCACUACUUUAAUGAUGAGGGCUUCAUAAUUGGAUUUCCACUAAAUGGUACGAGCUGCAGUUCCAAUGAUGACAGAAAGCACGGGCUUCCUGUGUUAGGUAUUCAAGAGCAAGGCAGAUAUCCUGGGCACUUGAGCUGAGAAUGUCACUCUGUCUUUUUGCCAGUCCUCUUCCCCACCCUUGGAGAUAAGAAUCCCCUUUUGUUCACACAGAAAUGUAGCUGAAGUCGGUAUAAAAGUUCCCUUCUCUUCUCUUCUUUGUCUCUCAAACUCCCUGUCCCUACCUUCUGCCUUUCCCUUUCCAUGACUCAAUCCCCCAGGUCCACUGCUCCAUUCCAGCCAUGAUCAGGGUGUCCUCCAGCUGCUGGCCUCUGCCCUGGCCAUCCCUCAGUGAGGAAUCUGCAGGAGGAUUAUGGAGUUCACGGGACUGAUCAAGAAAUCUCUGCUCUUCAGAGCCCUCCUACACAUGGUGCUGUAUGGGGAGAGCUGGCACCCUGGGCGAGGGUCCGACUCCAUGAGUGGCCUCCUCACUCCUCUCCCACAGUCACUGCUGGUCCCUCAUCCUUACCCACCAUUAGAAAUCAGCCAUAUGCUAGGGAAAGUUACCUGUCUAUUUGACCAUGAGGCACCAGGGAGUCAGUACAUAUUUCCACAAUAAAUGAGCAUAAGCACCUCCAUAAGUCUAGAUGUAGGAGGUUCCCACCACCCCAGAAAACUCUCUCGGGCUCCCCACACAAAGGGUGAUCUUGCUACUAUCCACCAUCACUGCCAUUUUUGCCAGUUUGUUACCUGUGUGUACAAGAACCCCACUGUGUGCACUGAUGGGGAGUGAGAGUAGGUCCACCUAGAAGCAGAUGCUGACAGAGACAGAACGGUGAAAGGUGUAUUAGGGGACACUAGGAAGGACAAAGUGGAGGGGGCAGGAUGGGCAGGGAAAGCAUUCAGGCAGAUCUGACACCUUUUUUAAAUAUAUAAUCACCAUAGUCUGUCACCUUGCACAGUCCUCUUCAAAUUUCAAAAUAGUUGUCCCAUAAGGCAGUGAGAUUUAAGAGAUUUUGGUGUAUUUCCCUAUAGUCUUAUGUUUUCCUACAUGCAUUCUGUCUUCUGUAGUUCAUCUGUGGCCUCAGAUGAACAUUUUAGUGUGAGGCUGCAUGUGUGAGUCUAUAUGUAAUGGAAAAUGAUUGUCUUCAGAUCUCAGAUGUAGAUCUCUGAAUAUACACAUUCUCAUAAUUUUCUUUUCUUUGGUAGGUCCUGGAUUUUAAUAGAAGUCCCUGGGCUGAGGUGUUAACAGUCUUCAUUUAAUGAAUUUCCAUGAACAUCUUUUUUUGAUGAUCAUUGUGUGGAGAUAUCAUCUUAAUUGAAACUGUGAGAAGGGUGAGUGGAC